UACGAAGGGGGCUAGCGUUGCUCGGAAUUACUGGGCGUAAAGCGCACGUAGGCGGCUCUUUAAGUCGGGGGUGAAAUCCUGGAGCUCAACUCCAGAACUGCCUUCGAUACUGGAGAGCUCGAGUCCGGGAGAGGUGAGUGGAACUGCGAGUGUAGAGGUGAAAUUCGUAGAUAUUCGCAAGAACACCAGUGGCGAAGGCGGCUCACUGGCCCGGGUACUGACGCUGAGGUGCGAAAGCGUGGGGAGCAAACAGG
rnacentral:rRNA from 1 species